rnacentral:rRNA from 1 species
GACGAACGCUGGCGGCGUGCUUAACACAUGCAAGUCGAACGGUGAACCACCUUCGGGUGGGGAUCAGUGGCGAACGGGUGAGUAACACGUGGGCAACCUGCCCCUGACUUCGGAAUAACCUCGGGAAACCGAAGCUAAUACCGGAUACGACGUCGAGUGGCAUCAUUUGACGUGGAAAGUUUUUCGGUCAGGGAUGGGCCCGCGGCCUAUCAGCUUGUUGGUGGGGUAACGGCCUACCAAGGCGACUACGGGUAGCCGGCCUGAGAGGGCGACCGGCCACACUGGGACUGAGAUACGGCCCAGACUCCUACGGGAGGCAGCAGUGGGGAAUAUUGCACAAUGGGCGAAAGCCUGAUGCAGCGACGCCGCGUGAGGGAUGACGGCCUUCGGGUUGUAAACCUCUUUCGACAGGGAUGAAGCCUUCGGGUGACAGUACCUGUAGAAGAAGCACCGGCUAACUACGUGCCAGCAGCCGCCGUAAUAC